UCCUACGGGGGGCAGCAGUGGGGAAUAUUGCACAAUGGGGGGAACCCUGAUGCAGCGACGCCGCGUGGGUGAAGGAGUACUUCGGUACGUAAAGCCCUAUCAGCAGGAAAGAAAAUGACGGUACCUGAAGAACAAGCCCCGGCUAACUACGUGCCAGCAGCCGCGGUAAAACGUAGGGGGCGAGCGUUGUCCGGAAUGACUGGGCGUAAAGGGUGCGUAGGCGGCAUAAUAAGUUAGAAGUGAAAUACCCAGAGCUUAACUCGGGCGCUGCUUCUAAGACUGUUGAGCUUGAGUGCGGGAGAGGU
rnacentral:rRNA from 1 species